GGGGAACACUGGGGGAGGGUGGGCCGGGAAGCCCACCGGCCUGGCCCUGGCUGUUCAUUACAGGGGGCAAGCGCGAUGAAGAGCUGGUUCUGCCCAUCAACUCCUCCCUGAGCGUCACUCUGCACCAGGACCAGUUAAAAACCACCACAACAGCCGUCAUCAGCAAGGACUUCACCGAGGACCGGAUUUGGCUGAAUGGCCGGGAGGAGGAUGUGGGGCAGCCGCGGCUGCAGGCCUGCCUGCGGGAGAGUGAGCUGGGGUCCCCAUAAGCCCAUCCCUCCCUGUUGUCAGCAGGGUCCGAGCAUCCAGAAAGUGCUUCUGCCUCUGUGCCCCUCCUGAGGCAGCAGGCGGGGUGGCUGGGAACCAGACAUGCCCGCUGGGCCGCCAGCUCCAGGGCAGUGGCCCACCUCAAUGACCAGCUGGGCUUGGGUCAGUCUGGGGUUUUCCCGGGUAAGAAACUCUCCACGAGGAGUCUGGCAGGCAGAGGCCUGGUGUUCAGCUGUGACCCCGGGCAGGUGGGCAGGAGCAGGGCGGGCAGGGUGCUGACGGCUGGGCCACACGCUGUCUCAUUGUCUCUGCAGUCCGCUGCCUGGCCCGGAAGCGGAGGAACUCACGGGAUGGGGACCCGCUGCCCUCCAGCCUCAGCUGCAAGGUGCACGUGGCAUCGGUGAACAACUUCCCCACGGCUGCGGGCCUGGCCUCCUCAGCGGCGGGCUAUGCCUGCCUAGCCUACACCCUGGCCCGUGUCUACGGCGUGGAGAGUGACCUCUCAGAAGUGGCUCGCCGGGGCUCAGGCAGCGCCUGCCGGAGCCUGUAUGGGGGCUUUGUGGAGUGGCAGAUGGGAGAGCAGGCCGACGGGAAGG
rnacentral:lncRNA from 1 species